GGCUGAUUUGUCCUGUGCUGCUCUAUCACUUCAGAAGGGAAAGCUUUAAAUCAUGAAGGGGACAAUCAUCCUGCUGUGUCUUUUUGGACUCUGCGCAUCUGCUCCGCUGUCUCCCGAACGUGCCAAACGCUCCAGCAGCAAUGAGGUCAGUGCAAUGCAGGGCUGCUUAACAAACACAGGGAAAUAUACAAUUGU